AGGGAUCAUUCACAUGAUUACUUUACUAAACAAACUGUGAACUUUAUUAUAUACUAUUCGUGUAGUUGAAAUUUAUUUCUUCAUACACUGUCAUUCGAUGAACAUUAGAUAGCUGGCUUGUUUUUUUAUUAAAACUUUCUCAGCUGAUUUGUUAUGUUAUUAGACUAAACAUCUAUUUCAUACAAUCAACCAAACAUAGAAACAACUCUAUGCCCUGGAUAUCUUGGUUCUC
rnacentral:misc_RNA from 1 species